rnacentral:rRNA from 1 species
GACGUAGGGCGCGAGCGUUGUCCGGAUUUAUUGGGCGUAAAGAGCUCGUAGGCGGUUUGUCGCGUCUGCCGUGAAAGUCCGAGGCUCAACUUCGGAUCUGCGGUGGGUACGGGCAGACUAGAGUGAUGUAGGGGAGACUGGAAUUCCUGGAUGUAGCGGUGAAAUGCGCAGAUAUCAGGAGGAACACCGAUGGCGAAGGCAGGUCUCUGGGCAUCUACUGACGCUGAGGAGCGAAAGCCAUGGGGAGCGAACAGG